UGGUUCAGUCGGAAGAUCCGUGACAGGUUGAAGCGAUAUGAAGAUGAAAAGGGUUUAGUUGUGCGGUGGUCGACGGCGUGGGUUACUUCGGUGGCGGAGUUCGAUCCACGGUGGAAGGAAAAAGAAGAGUGAGGUUGUUUAGAUCGCAGUCAGCUUGGUAGAUGGCGUUGAAGGGAAUUCGCGGCGGCCAUGGCGGUUAGCCGGAAGUUGUUGAAGGAUGUUAAGGGCGGAGAAUUCGAGACGUACGGUGGAGUGUGUAUGUUAUGGUGGUGUUUGUUGGAAGGUUUGAGUUUAUGAAGAAGAAGAGGAUUUGAAGGAAUUGAGUGGGUAAGGGUGUGACGGCAGUGCGUUUUUUCAAGGGGAAGAAGAAGGUGGAUUUCAGUGUUUUGUGUGUGUGACGUUUGGGAGCAGAAGAAGUAUUCCUCCCUUUUUGUUUUUUUCUGUCCCAUGAGUCCCCUUUUUCUUGAGACAGAGUGGUGAUCCCCACGUGAAGAAGAAAUCUCUUUGUUUCCCCUUUUUCCCCGUUAGCCAGCUGUUCCUCCAUUAAUAAAAUCCCAUUUUUGUUCUUAUCCCAUCUCUCCCAAUAACAUGAUGCCACGUUUCAUGUUGAGAGUAUGGAUAAAAAAUCUUCUCAAAUGCAAGCUGUCAAACGUGUAUCUUUCACAAGUAUACAACUUUAUUUUUAAUUUUUAAUUUUUAAUGUUAAUAUUAAUAUUAUUUGAUUUUUCAUGAUUAAUAUUAUUAUUAAUUGAUUUUUGAUUGGAUAAUGGAAUAUGAUAACGAUUGCAAAUGAGAUCCGUGGAUUAAUUUGUAUCAACGAUCCUGAUUAAUCCAAAGAAGCACAAGCAAUUUUAAAAUGUCCGAUAUGUCCCUUUUAUAUGAUUUUAAUUGAUUUAAAAUAAUUUAAAUCAUCAAAUCAAAUUAAAUUCGCAUCUUUCUAAAUACAUACGAUAAAAAUAAAAUGAGAAUACGAAAAAUUCUAUUUAUUUCUUUUGAACAUUUUGGCGAAAGAAUAAAAAUAAAAUGACUAAAAAUUAAUAAAAGUCGGACGAAAAUUUGUUUAAAAAAUUAAAUCGGACGCACUAAAAUGAUCAGCGCGAAAUAUACUUAUUGAAAAAAUACAUCAUUUCUUUUAAUUUUGAAAUAAAUUUUGACCGAUUGAAAGGCUUAGACGGAUCAAAAUGCGAUUGAAAAAGUCGUCGAAAAAUAUAACGAGCACACCAUGUUAAACUACGCAGACCAUAGAUUAAUAAUACUGGCGUAUGCAAGUUUAAUUUUGAAACUUUUUACACGCUGAUUUUGCACGUACUUGAGAAAUGAUUUAACCAAUUUGUCUAUAUUUUCAAUAAUUUAUUUCGACCGAUAUUUUAAGUAUUAUUCAUGAUGAAAUGCAUGUUAUGCUGUACAACUGAUGCAAAUUAAAAAUGAAAUCAAGUUUAUGAAAAAUUUAAAAUGUCUGGACAAAAUUGGGGUAUGACAGCUGCCCCUAUUUAGUUACCUUGAUCCGGAAAGUAAGAAUUACAGCAGUGUCCGUAAAUUCGUGGUGGAAGGUAAUUAAAUACGAAAAGACCCAAAUUUUGUCCUUUGAAAUGUGAUGGAGAAAUGUAGAAAGAAAAUGUAACGAAUCCUAACGACAUCCAGGGUAUUAGGGGUAGAAUAUCCGAUCAAUGCCAACCCUCGAGUCGACAUUUAAAUCUUGCAAAGGUCGUUAUUGAUAUGAGGACAAACCUGAGCAGGUUUUCUGGCACCAAAAGGAUGACAAUAGAAUUAAUUGCCAUCACCAAAAGGGUGAUAGUAAUUCACCAUGAUUUCCGGGAUCGUCAUCACCAAAAGGAUGAUGGAAUACCAAGCUUCAAAGGUAGUCAUCACCAAAAGGAUGAUGGUUAUCCUGAUAAAGCUUUCCAUUACCGAGGGGGUAAUAUUAAGACUAUCAUCAAAAGGACGAUAGUUAACUCAUCAACUUCAAAGAUCACCGUCACCAAAAGGAUGAAAGUAAGUUCAACGACAAAACUUAUUAUCACCAAAAGGAUGAUGCUAAGUCACGGCAACUUCAUUGGAUCACCAUCACCAAAAGGAUGAAGGUAACAUUAACAACAAAACUUGUUAUCACCAAAAGGAUGAUAAAAAGUCAACAAUCACCAUCACCAAAAGGAUGAAGGUACUACCAAACAACAGAACUUGUUACCACCAAAAGGAUGAUAAUAAGUCAACAAUAUUAAUGAUCACCAGUAUCCAAAGGAUGAAGGUAAGAUCAACAACGAAACUUGUUAUCACCAAAAGGAUGAUAAUAAGUCACAAACUUCAAAUGAUCACCAUCACCAAAAGGGUGAAGGUAAGAUCAAAUAACAGAACUUGUUACCACCAAAAGGAUGAUAACAAGUCAUCAACCACCAUCACCAAAAGGAUGAAGGUAAAAACAAACAACAAAGCUUGUUACCCUCAAAAGGAUGAUAAUAAGUCAACAACUCAAAUAAUCACCAUCACCAAAAGGAUGAAGGUAAGAUUAAUAACAAGACUUGUUACCACCAAAAGGAUGAUAAUGAGUCACAAUCACCAUCACCAAAAGGAUGAAGGUAUUAUUGAACAACAAAACUCGUUAUCACCAAAAUGAUGAUAAUAAGUUACAACAACUUAAAUGAUCACCAUCACCGAAAGGAUGAAGGUAAGAUCAGAACAAAACUUGUUACCACCAAAAGGAUGAUAGUAAGUCGAGACAAACUUUAAUGAUCGCCAUCACCAAAAGGAUGAAGGUAAGAUCAAAUGACAAAACUUAUUACCACCAAAAGGAUGAUAAUAAGUCAAAAACUUCACAUGAUCACCAUCACCAAAAGGAUGAAGGUAUGAUCAACAACAAAACUUGUUACCUCCAAAAGGAUGAUAAUAAGUCACAAACUUCAAAUGAUCACCAUCACCAAAAGGAUGAAGGUAUGAUCAACAACAAAACUUAUUACCACCAAAAGGAUGACAAUAAUCUUUAAUAAUGAGAGGUCUCCAUUCACCAAAAGGAUGAAGGUUGGACCCAAAACUUCAAGGAUCUUCGACACCAAAAGGAUGACGGUAAGAUCACAAAUGUCAAGGGUUUACCAUUACCAAAAGGAUAACGGUUAUCAUAAACAAGGAGAUGAUUAAUAUUAUUCCUCAAUGAACUUUCACCAAAAGAAUGAUAGUGAGAAAAAUAUUUGGAAUAAUAAAGCUACUGACAAAGUUCAAUAAACCCGACUUGUUGGGUAGUAUUAGAACGUUACUGGGUAAGACUUGCUUGGGGUAUCGACAAUAAAAGGUUGCAGAAAAAUAUUCUCUGGAAAACAUAAUUUCCAUCAACAAAAGGUUAAAAGAAACAUCUCAUCGAGGAACGCUCAAUGAGAAACAAGGUAGGGGUUUGAAGAAAAAUUGUUCGACUUAGAUGAGGGUAACACCUUAUUAACAAAAGGUUAGAGGAUGUAAAUCAACGGGGAACACCCAACAAUACAAGGUAAGAACUCACUCAGAGAAAAUAAUAAAUGACUCAACUGAGGGUUGGCCUGGACACCUACGACUAAACCUUGGAUCUUGAUUCGUGCUAUAUGCAUGAAUGUUAUGUAUGCGUUAUGUAUGAGAUGAUGUAUGCAGUGCAUGUUUGAAUGUAAAGGAUGAUUGGUUUGUUUAGAAUUGGUCCCCCCUUUUCAAAGGAGAUGUAUUUUCUGGAAACAAAUACUGGUUGUAUUUGUUUUUGUGUGGGUUCCAACAAGGUGGACUUUGGGUUUU
rnacentral:lncRNA from 1 species